GAAGGAUUGUGAGUUGGAUCUAGAAAGCAGUGAGGUUGUGGAAUGUCAGAUUUUGAGGUAAGGUGAGAGUAAAUGACAGUAAAUAGGUGUAGUGUGUGAGAGAAUAGAAUUAACCACUACAGUAAUAGAGUUCAGGAAACUGUGAAGUGGGCUAAUAUUUGGGAGGGGUUUUGUGUAGUAUUUUCAAUUGUAUGGAACAGUUAUUAUUCACAAUAAUAUUAGAGCAACAAUCAUAUGACAGAAUCUAUGUGAUC